UUUAUAUUUUAUUUAUUAAUUUUAAUUUUUAUUUAUUUAUUUUUAUUAAAAAUAAUUAUAUAAAGUAUUGUUUUAGUAGUUUAUAAUGAAAUAAUAAUAUUAAUAAUAGUUUAUUAGUAUAGUAAUAGAAUAUUGAAAUAAUUUGAAAAAUUUUUAAUUUAUAAGAAAAUUUAAUUUAUUGUACCUUGUGUAUCAGGGUUUAUUAAAUAAAAAAUAUUUAUAUUAUAUUUUUUUCGAUUUUAAAAGAGUUAAUAAAUAAUUAAAGUUAUUGUGAUAAAAUUAUUUUAAAUUAUUUAUUAGAAAUGAAAUGUUAUUCGUUUUUAAAGGUAUCUAGUUUUUUAAGAAAUAAAUUUAAUUUAGAAGUUUUAAAUUUAUUUAUUUAAUUAAUUUAAAUAAAUAAUUUAAAAUUUUAAUAUUUUAUGGGAUAAGCUAUAAAAUAAAGUAUUAAAAAUUUUUUAAGAUUUAUAAAAAUGUAUGAUUAUAAUUGUCAACCAUUUAAAGUUUGUUAUAAAUUAUUUUUAUGUUUAUAUUAUUUCUUAUAUUUUAAUUAUUUAUUAAAAUAUUUAUUUUAAUUUUAAAAAUAAAGCAAUUAUGAUAAAAUUAGUAUAUAAUAUAUUUUGUAAAAAUAUAUUUAUUUGUUAAGUUUAUAUAAAGAAUUCGGCAAAAUUAAUAUUCGCCUGUUUAACAAAAACAUGUCUUUUUGAAAUUUAUUUUAAAGUCUAAUCUGCCCAAUGAAAAUGUUUUAAUGGCCGCAGUAUUUUAACUGUGCAAAGGUAGCAUAAUCAUUAGUCUUUUAAUUGAAGGCUGGUAUGAAUGAUUGGACGAGAUAUUAACUGUUUCAUAUAAAUUUAUAUAGAAUUUUAUUUUUUAGUUAAAAAGCUAAAAUAUAUUUAAAAGACGAGAAGACCCUAUAAAUCUUUAUAUUUUUAUUUAUUUUAAUUAUAAAGAUUUUUUUAAUUAUAAUAAAUAAAAGUAUUUUAUUGGGGUGAUAUUAAAAUUUAAUAAACUUUUAAUUUUUUUAAACAUUAAUUUAUGAAUAAUUGAUCCAAUUUUAUUGAUUAUAAAUUUAAGUUACUUUAGGGAUAACAGCGUAAUUUUUUUGGAGAGUUCAUAUCGAUAAAAAAGAUUGCGACCUCGAUGUUGGAUUAAGAUAUAGUUUUAGGUGUAGCCGCUUAAAUUUUAAGUCUGUUCGACUUUUAAAUUCUUACAUGAUCUGAGUUCAAACCGGUGUAAGCCAGGUUGGUUUCUAUCUUUAAUUAAUUUAAAUAUUUUAGUACGAAAGGACCAAAUAUUAAAAUAAUUAUAUUUUAUAUAUUGAAUUUAAUUAAUUAUUU
rnacentral:rRNA from 1 species